rnacentral:rRNA from 1 species
CCUACGGGAGACAGCAGUGAGGAAUAUUGGUCAAUGGGUGGGAGCCUGAACCAGCCAAGUCGCGUGAGGGAAGACGGUCCUAUGGAUUGUAAACCUCUUUAGGCGGGGAGCAAUGCCGGGCACGCGUGCCCGGAGGGAGAGUACCCGCAGAAUAAGCAUCGGCUAACUCCGUGCCAGCAGCCGCGGUAAUACGGAGGAUGCGAGCGUUGUCCGGAUUGAUUGGGGUUAAAGGGUGCGUAGGCGGAUUUUUAAGUCAGCGGUAAAAUGUCCGGGCUCAACCCGGGCCGGCCGUUGAAACUGGGGAUCUUGAGUGGGCGAGAAGUAUGCGGAAUGCGUGGUGUAGCGGUGAAAUGCAUAGAUAUCACGCAGAACUCCGAGUGCGAAGGCAGCAUACCGGCGCCCGACUGACGCUGAGGCACGAAAGCGUGGGGAUCGAACAGGAUUAGAUACCCGGGUAGUC